rnacentral:rRNA from 1 species
AAUGAACGCUGGCGGCGUGCCUAAUACAUGCAAGUCGAGCGAACGGACGAUAAGCUUGCUUCUCUGCUGUUAGCGGCGGACGGGUGAGUAACACGUGGAUAACCUACCUAUAAGACUGGGAUAACUUCGGGAAACCGGAGCUAAUACCGGAUAAUAUUUUGAACCGCAUGGUUCAAAAGUGAAAGGCGGUCUUGCUGUCACUUAUAGAUGGAUCCGCGCUGCAUUAGCUAGUUGGUAAGGUAACGGCUUACCAAGGCAACGAUGCAUAGCCGACCUGAGAGGGUGAUCGGCCACACUGGAACUGAGACACGGUCCAGACUCCUACGGGAGGCAGCAGUAGGGAAUCUUCCGCAAUGGGCGAAAGCCUGACGAAGCAACGCCGCGUGAGUGAUGAAGGUCUUCGGAUCGUAAAACUCUGUUAUUAGGGAAGAACAGAUGUGUAAGUAACCGUGCACAUCUUGACGGUACCUAAUCAGAAAGCCACGGCUAACUACGUG